UGGGGUAUGGUGAAAAGGCAACACAUAGCACUUUGACUGCUACAUUUACUGGUUCGAAUCCAGUUACCCCAG
rnacentral:tRNA from 1 species